CAAGUCGAGGGGCAGCAGGACUGUAGCAAUACAGUUGCUGGCGACCGGCAAACGGGUGCGGAACACGUACGCAACCUUCCUUUAAGUGAGGGAUAGCCCAGGGAAACUUGGAUUAAUACCUCGUAAUAUUUGAGAGUGGCAUCACUUUCUAAUUAUAGCUCCGGCGCUUAAAGAUGGGCGUGCGACUGAUUAGGUAGUUGGCGGGGUAACGGCCCACCAAGCCUGCGAUCGGUAACUGGUGUGAGAGCACGACCAGUCACACGGGCACUGAGACACGGGCCCGACUCCUACGGGAGGCAGCAGUAAGGAAUAUUGGUCAAUGGACGCAAGUCUGAACCAGCCAUGCCGCGUGGAGGAUGAAGGUCCUCUGGAUUGUAAACUUCUUUUAUCUGGGAAGAAACCCAUAUUUUCUAGUGUGGUUGACGGUACCAGAUGAAUAAGCACCGGCUAACUCCGUGCCAGCAGCCGCGGUAAUACGGAGGGUGCAAGCGUUAUCCGGAUUCACUGGGUUUAAAGGGUGCGUAGGCGGGUUGGUAAGUCCGUGGUGAAAUCUCCGAGCUUAACUCGGAAACUGCCGUGGAUACUAUCAAUCUUGAAUAUCGUGGAGGUAAGCGGAAUAUGUCAUGUAGCGGUGAAAUGCUUAGAUAUGACAUAGAACACCAAUUGCGUAGGCAGCUUACUACACGAUCAUUGACGCUGAGGCACGAAAGCGUGGGGAGCAAACAGGAUUAGAUACCCUGGUAGUCCACGCCCUAAACGAUGGAUACUCGACAUCAGCGAUACACUGUUGGUGUCUGAGCGAAAGCAUUAAGUAUCCCACCUGGGAAGUACGAUCGCAAGAUUGAAACUCAAAAGGAAUUGGCGGGGGUCCGCACAAGCGGUGGA
rnacentral:rRNA from 1 species